AAUUCUGUGGUGUAGUUGGUAGCACGCCUGUCAUGCAAAUAGGAGUCGUAGAUUCGAACCUUAGCGGAAUCA
rnacentral:tRNA from 1 species